rnacentral:lncRNA from 1 species
AACUGCAGCCUCACACUGCCUCCCUAACUCUGUCUAUGGGCACACUGAACCCCUUAAAGGACAGAGGCGAUAGAAUCCAGAGAAGCAUGGUGUGCUGCUCAGACUCACUGGCUGCCUUGAUCUUGAGGGCAGAAGGUUCCCAAAGUGAAGCUGAGGGGUCGGAUGCCCAAGGUCAGGAGCUGCGAGGUCUCUCCCCAGGUCCUGCUGGUGGUGGGUUUGUGCUCACUCGAAAUGUUUUCUCCCGCAAACCAAGUUGGAAGGAAGCAAGAGUAAACUCUCUCACCCUGGAGAGUCUUAGGUCUGUGGCAGGCCUGGAGUUUAUAAAGUAAAUGAGGACAUCCACCCAGACUUAUCUAAGUUUCCAGCUGUCUUCCAACACAAGAGCAUGCUAGAGUUUGGGAAAUUUUCCUCUGCCCACUUACACAGACAGCAGCAUGGGGCACGGAUUCCGACUGACUUUCCCCCCUCUCGUGCCCUUACCCAUCUCAGUGCAGGACUGAGAUGUCUUCAAAGGAGCCAAUUGAACCAAAAGCCAGACAUGGAGGAGCUGGCGUGGGAGGAAGACAGUAUCUAAAGGGAUGAUGGUCCGGGGAGGUCUCUUGUUGAGGCUGACUUAACUCUAGUUUUGUUUGUAAUUAAGUCUUGGAGAUCUCCAGAGACGUCACUUUGUCCAGUUGUAGACCAGAUCUGUCUUUGAGCAACCCUCCCCUCCACCCCCCGUCCUCAUCCCUCUGGGGUGCUCCUCUGAGCCAACAGUGCCCAGGUCAGGACUUUCCCUGGGUAGGUGAUGGCAAUCCGGGACCUGGCAUCACACCCAAGCCACUAAGCCAGACUUUGCAGCCACAGAGAGGCUGGCAGACUUUUCACUUCAGUGCAUUGGCUGGGGAAUGUGGCUCAGCGGGAGAGAGCUUGGCAUGUAUAAGGCUCCAGAGUCAGAUUGUAGCACCAAGGGGAAACACUUUGCUUUCAAGAAGUCAGGAAAGAGCUAAGACGUUCUCUUGGAUGACCCCUUUACAAGCUGUGGGCAUCAACUGUCUCGAUACUUUUGGGGUUGGUUUGUUGGCUUUUGUUUUGUUUUGUUUGUGAUAGGAUCACACUGUAGCCCAGGCUAACCUCAGACUUGGAAUUGAAGGCGACCUGAUCCUCCUGUCUCCCCCCACCUCCCAAGCACUGGGUCUGCAGUCGCGUGCCACUGUGCCGCUGUGCCUGGCUCUUCUCCACUCCACAGCCUUACUGAGCUUGCUCUCUGGAUGAUGUUGACAUCACGUGAUCUACCCUGAAGCAAUGACUCUCAAACAUGGACAUGAUGCAGAGACACCAGGGCUCAGCUUUCUCUCUCGUACCCUGUUCCCUUUCCUGGUCCUCUUGGGUCCUGCAGUACUGGUGUGGAGGGACCUCCUAGUAGCUCUGACAAUGAGAGGAGGGCAGUUGUGUGCUGAUCACACACACACACACACACCACAAGUCUGUCAGGUAUAAGGAGACAAGUAGGUUGCUUUCCUGAUCCUGCCUCCCAAGAAAGAAUAAUUCCCAGAGCGAUUCUAGGUCAUGUGAUUAUCAUCCUGCUUCUGUGAGAUGGAAGUCAGGAGGGGUCCUGUAAGAGAGCUUUCAGUAGGGAUGCUUAGAGCCCUGAAGCUUAUCAAGAUGAUGCACCUGAGAAAACUAUAUGCAGAUCUGCAGCUUUUCUUGCUCAAAGCCUGCACUCAGGAGGUACUACACAGUCAGCCAUGCUGUGGUCAGCCAUGCUGUGGUCAGCCAUGCUGUGGACAUGGGAGAGGAUGCCAUGCAGUCUAUGCAUGACAGGCGGGGAUAAUCAUGGCCCACUAAAUUAAGCCGACCACUCGUUCUCACCCCGUCCUUUGUCCAAAUCUGUCUUCUCAAGGCUGGCCUAGAGUGAACCAUUUUCUCCUGUGUUGGAAAGAUAUAUUGGUCUUUCAGAACAGUACCAUGUUUACAGGCUGGACUUCUCAAGGAAGGGAUUCAAGAGUAUAAAGUGUACCCAAAGUGGGGUUCGCUUUGGCCUUUGGACUCUGCUCCCCAGCCUGGGCCACUGAUCUACAGUCUUUGUUAUUUUGGGGAGCAUUAGACUCUAAAAAAGUUUUAAUAGCAGUUUUAUCAUGAAAGCACCUUCUCGGACGUAAACCCGCGCUCGAUGGCUUUUUUUGCCCUGGAAAGGGGAGAAUGGGAGGAAGUAGUUCAACUGUGUGGUUGGUUUGUUUUAAGUGAUGGGAAACCAAGACACUCUGUGGCCCUGCUGAAUCAGCUGCGCCCUUCGACCCUGCACUAACUAUGGCACUUCACCCAAGCAAAGUGAACCGUGAACACACGUGAGUUUGGAAUGAGAACACCUGAUGUGUUUGUGUUCUUGAAAAGCCAGUCACCUUCCUAUUCCCAGGACGCCUUUCCUGCCUGGUGGGCCAAAUCCCGAAGUCCCAACAUUCUCCUGGCACGGCAAGGGGCCACUGCCCACUGCUAGCUGGGGAGGAGGAAGGGGGAGUAUUGCCGUAGCGUGUGAAUAAACAGUAUUUUUUUCUUUCG